AAAACAAGAGAGCUUGGUAUUUAAGAUAAAUAUAAUUAGUCCCCAAUUCCCGAACCCUACAACAUUACCUCUGUCUUUUUCCAGUUAAAACCCCUGCACUCCACUGCCGGCUGCCGCUUCUCGCCGUCAGUUGUCAGCGAUCAGGAUACAUUAAUAUAAUGUAAUAGAACGAUGAACAAGAAGAAAAGAAGAAGAACGGAUGAUGGAGUAAGAAGAAGAACCAGAGACGGAUGAUGAGUAAGAAGAACCAGAGAACAAUGGUAGUUUCAAUUUUUAGAAAUUUCAGAUUUUUGAAAUUCAAAAUUGCAUAUUAAAUAUUGUGAAACGUGUUUAAUUAAAAGUAAUAAUUCAAAAUUUAAAAAGUGAUUUAAAAGAUUAAGUGCUUUAGUGGAGAAAAAAUAGGCAUGAUAUUGAAAAAACGUGUGUUAUAGGAGAGAGAAGACUAUGUAUCUCUAAACUUCUAUUAAAAUUAAAAAAAAAAGAAUUAUGUAAUAUUUAAAAAAAGAAGAAAAAAUUAGAGAAUACUAAACUUAUAGUUGUGUAUUUAAGUUAUUUUUCUUUACGAUGAUUUUUCUUAAAUUAAAAUCACAAAAAUAAAAUACCUGUCGUUGCUUAAAUUGACUCGUCUCUUUUUUUCAUUAAUUAUAUCAUGAGAUCUGUUCCCAACUUCCAAGAAGAACAAAUGAAAUCUCAAUGCUACAUUAACAAGAGAAAAAAAAAUGAAAAUAGAAGUAAGGCGGAUAUAAAUAUAUGUUGAAAAAAAACAUAAAUAUGAUCACUAUGAAUUGAUGGUUUAUCCAGUAAUAAAAUUUAAGUUUUUUUCCUCGUGCAUUAAUAACACAAGUUUGGUGCAAGGUGGGAGUGUGCUGGGAGGGGAAAAAUUUUCAACACUUCAAUUUCAAAAGUGUAGGUUAAAAUUUUAAAAUAACAUGUUAAUGUCCCCAAUGCACGUCCUGGUGAGUUUUAAAUUUUUCAUUGGGAGUAGGUUCAACA
rnacentral:lncRNA from 1 species